GUGGGGAAUCUUGCGCAAUGGGCGAAAGCCUGACGCAGCCAUGCCGCGUGAAUGAUGAAGGUCUUAGGAUUGUAAAAUUCUUUCACCGGGGACGAUAAUGACGGUACCCGGAGAAGAAGCCCCGGCUAACUUCGUGCCAGCAGCCGCGGUAAUACGAAGGGGGCUAGCGUUGCUCGGAAUUACUGGGCGUAGAGGGCGCGUAGGCGGACAGUUUAGUCAGAGGUGAAAGCCCAGGGCUCAACCUUGGAAUUGCCUUUGAUACUGGCUGUCUUGAGUACGGGAGAGGUGAGUGGAACUCCGAGUGUAGAGGUGAAAUUCGUAGAUAUUCGGAAGAACACCAGUGGCGAAGGCGACUCACUGGCCCGUUACUGACGCUGAGGCGCGAAAGCGUGGGGAGCAAACAGGAUUAGAUACCCUAGUAGUCC
rnacentral:rRNA from 1 species